GUGUGUGUGUGUGAGAGAGAGAGAGAGCAAGGUGGGUCGACGCUCUACCCCCUUCACUUCACACACACACACACACACACACACACACACACACACACACACACACACACACACACACACACACACACACACUCCGCCAUUACCUUCAACGCUACUCGCCAGGUAGGACACGAAGUCUCAUCAGCCAUGCAGGAAGUGAGUCAGUCAUCGCGGGCUCACAGCUUGGAGACCUCGAGCAAGACCCUUUUUCCGUGGUUAUGAGUUGUGACCGUUAUAAUGGGCAGGUGAUAUAGAGAUGCUCGUUGUAUCGGUUCACAAGUCGUAACCAUGGUUGUGCGCUGACGGCGGCGGCGGGCGGACCUUCGCGAGGGUUGCCGACAGCGGCGCUCUGGGACCACUUCGGGGCUCUCUCUAUGACUGUUUCCCAAGGCCACAGAGAAGAUCGAUCGUGUUUCCAUGGGUGUUUUUUCCCGUUCAUGGUGCAGAAGACGUGUCAAACUAUCACCAGGAUCACAAAGCACUCCAUGGAAAUCACAGGAACUUCUACGACAAGAGGCUUUUGAAACAUGCAUACUGAGGUGACGUUAUGCUUGAAAAUACGGGUUAGUGUUGGAAUCUAAGAAGAGGAUUGUUUGUAGAAGUGUAGUUCAUCUUGUAUGUUCGAUGUAGGAUAUGUAUUCACUGAUGCUCUGAGGCAGUGUUAGAAUCUACGAGAAAAAUGUCUAAAGCUGUCUGAUAUGUUUUGCGUGAUGUUGAUUUCACUGCAGGUUGAUUAUGUAUUGUUUUUGGCUAUUUGUUAUUGUGUAUUGUUGUAGUGUGAUUAUAUGUUGUGGGAGAGUUAUAUAGAGUCUUAGAAAACGAUGACUGAAGUUGUCUGAUUGGUGACGGAUUGACAGAUAGAUUGACGGAUUGACAGAUUGACGGAUAGACUGACGGAUUGACGGAUAGAUUGACAUAUUGACGGAUAGAUUGACAGAUAGAUUGACGGAUUGACAGAUUGACAGAUAGAUUGAUGGAUUGAAAGAUAAGUUAAUUAUGUAUUCAGUAAUGUUCUUUAAUCUUCUUCAAUAUUCCUUUAUCCUCGGCUUUUAUCAUCUAUUCCUCAUAUUUGUUGUUCGUUGUCUUUCUUCUUAUUCUUCUUGUCAUUCUUGUUCUUAUUAAAAAUUUUCGUUCACAUUCAACUUCAUUCUUCAUCAACUUUUUACUUUUUUUCGUCUUCUUCCUUCAUAUAUAGAACCUAUGAAAAUGUGCAUGAUUUUUUAUUUUUUUUAUUUCAGGUUGAUUAUUAUGUAUUUGUUGACACGAGAAUGCCUGGAAGCGAUUCUAGUUCUCUCGAUAUAAAGAAUAAUAAAAAGU